UGAAAAUUAGAGGGUGGAUUUGGGUGCAGCUCAGAAGCAGAACAGAAACAUGGUAGUUUCCUUCAAAAAGCUUAAAAAAAUUUCAAACACUAGAAGUAGAUUAAAUGCUGGUUCAUAACCAAACCAAGAUGCAUUUACCAUUACAAAUUUACUUGUAGAGGGAUCAAAUUGUCAAGACUUGAGCAAUCAAUUACCUUACUAUGCUCUGAGCGUGAUGGAUGAAAGGAGAAGCUAACCAUCAAGGGAGUGAUGGAAUCGAGAUGCUAGAGAGGGUGACUCCAAUGGAGAAGAAGUUUAGGUGAAAGAAAGGAAGUGGUUCUGAAGACAGAUUUUUUGAGUUCUAGCGCCCAAAUGGAUGUGUGAGGGGUAGGAUGUGGCCACCAGCUAAAAAGUGGCAAUGCCAUUGGUGGUUUCUGGCUUUCUGCCAUCACCAAGCUACAGGGAAAGGAAGUGUUAUGCGCCCUAUCUUUCAGGCUUCAGCUCUCCUGAUUCUUGCCCUGCCCAAGCCCGCUGUUUCACCAAGAAGGCCUCUAUGAGUUGGGGAGUGCUGCUCAUGAACAAAAGCCAAGAUAGAUUUUCCAACUCCAAGAUUGACAGGAAGGGUUAUUCAAGUGCUGCUGAAUCCACUGGAUAUGGAAUUUAACCCUAUGGGCAGACUAAUUUCACCAGAUCCAACAAAAGCACAAUGAUGGUGCCAACUUGGAGGAUAAUGUGGUGCAGGACCACCUGAUCCUAGUCAGAGAUAAGUACAGAUCAAAAGAAUCUCAAAGGUGGAUCAUUUGAUGAUUUUGUUCUCCCCCAUCAAUGUCUAAGUGAAAGAAACAAGCGCACAACCAGUCUCGAGAUGGAAUUAUUGCCAUGCAAAUCUGCUUGUUGCAACAACCACCGUUGAAUCCCUGCUGACAAAUUCAUCUCAUUGGUGCUUUUGCAAAUGUGAUGGUGAGGUUUCACCUCUGUCAUCCAAAUGAACAUGAGAUCGCAUGGCCUUUUCUCCAUCACCAAUAAGACGGACAUCUAAAGUUCGCAUGGGGAACAGAGUUUCUUGUUGAAGUAUUGGAAUGAAAUCGCUCCUGUGCUCGAUGAGACCUCUGGAAAGUUACAUCCAAUUGACAUUUGCAGGGAUAUAUGGAACUCAAUUCGGAUAGUAUUUGCUACAACAAACAGAUAGUGUCAAACUG